rnacentral:ncRNA from 20 species
AGACGUUCUCAGGGCGGGGUGAAAUUCUCCACCGGCGGUAUUGGCGGAUUUCUCCGCCUCAGCCCGCGAGCGCCUUCCGGAUUUCGGUUCGGAAGGGACAAGCAGAUCCGGUGAGACUCCGGAGCCGACGGUUAGAGUCCGGAUGGAAGAGAACGCAG